rnacentral:rRNA from 1 species
AGGACGAACGCUGGCGGCGUGCUUAACACAUGCAAGUCGAGCGGAAAGGCCCUUCGGGGUACUCGAGCGGCGAACGGGUGAGUAACACGUGAGCAACCUGCCCUUAGCUCCGGGAUAGCUCCGGGAAACCGGAAUUAAUGCCGGAUACGACCACGGCCGACAUCUGCUGUGGUGGAAAGGAUUCCGGCUAAGGAUGGGCUCGCGGCCUAUCAGCUAGUUGGUGGAGUAACGGCCCACCAAGGCGACGACGGGUA